GAUGAACGCUAGCGGCAGGCUUAAUACAUGCAAGUCGAGGGACAGCACAGGUAGCAAUACUGGGUGGUAACCGGCAAACGGGUGCGGAACACGUACACAACCUUCCUUUAAGUGGGGGAUAGCCCAGAGAAAUUUGGAUUAAUACCCCGUAAUAUAGUUGAAUGGCAUCAUUUGAUUAUUAUAGCUACGGCGCUUAAUGAUGGGUGUGCGGCUGAUUAGAUAGUUGGCGGGGUAACGGCCCACCAAGUCUACGAUCAGUAGCUGAUGUGAGAGCAUGUUCAGCCACACGGGCAAUGAGACACGGGCCCGACUCCUACGGGAGGCAGCAGUAAGGAAUAUUGGUCAAUGGACGCAAGUCUGAACCAGCCAUGCCGCGUGAAGGAUUAAGGUCCUCUGGAUUGUAAACUUCUUUUAUUUGGGACGAAAAAGGGCCUUUCUAGGUCAACUGACGGUACCAGAUGAAUAAGCACCGGCUAACUCCGUGCCAGCAGCCGCUGUAA
rnacentral:rRNA from 1 species